UCCUCCCUCUGUCUUCGUGCUUAACACAUGCAAGUCGAACGGAAAGGCCCUGCUUUUGUGGGGUGCUCGAGUGGCGAACGGGUGAGUAACACGUGAGUAACCUGCCCUUGACUUUGGGAUAACUUCAGGAAACUGGGGCUAAUACCGGAUAGGAGCUCCUGCUGCAUGGUGGGGGUUGGAAAGUUUCGGCGGUUGGGGAUGGACUCGCGGCUUAUCAGCUUGUUGGUGGGGUAGUGGCUUACCAAGGCUUUGACGGGUAGCCGGCCUGAGAGGGUGACCGGCCACAUUGGGACUGAGAUACGGCCCAGACUCCUACGGGAGGCAGCAGUGGGGAAUAUUGCACAAUGGGCGGAAGCCUGAUGCAGCAACGCCGCGUGCGGGAUGACGGCCUUCGGGUUGUAAACCGCUUUCGCCUGUGACGAAGCGUGAGUGACGGUAAUGGGUAAAGAAGCACCGGCUAACUACGUG
rnacentral:rRNA from 1 species